AAUCAACGCUGGCGGCGUGCCUAACACAUGCAAGUCGAACGCGAAAGCCCGCAAGGGUAAGUAGAGUGGCGCACGGGUGAGUAACACGUGGACAACCUGCCUUCGAGUGGGGAAUAACCUUCCGAAAGGAGGGCUAAUACCGCAUAACACCUCGGGACACAAGUUCUGGGGUUGAAAAGAGCAAUUUGCUCGAAGAGGGGUCCGCGCCUGAUUAGCUAGUUGGUGAGGUAACGGCUCACCAAGGCGACGAUCAGUAUCCGGCCUGAGAGGGCGGACGGACACACUGGGACUGAGACACGGCCCAGACUCCUACGGGAGGCAGCAGUGGGGAAUUGUUCGCAAUGGGCGCAAGCCUGACGACGCAACGCCGCGUGGAGGAUGAAGACCUUCGGGUCGUAAACUCCUUUCGAUCGAGACGAAUGGCUUCCGGGUGAACAAUCCGGAGGAGUGACGGUACCGAGAGAAGAAGCCCCGGCUAA
rnacentral:rRNA from 1 species